rnacentral:lncRNA from 1 species
AUACUUACCAUAAUCUGAAAAUAAAUUAGGAAAAGUAAAUUUAUUUUGAAAAAAAUGCUAGAAAAUCAGUGGUAGAAAAUACGUUGUAGCCGGAAUAAAAUAAUCUUCGGUUUUUAGGGUUUCUGAAGACGGCAAAUGAAGACUUAUUUAUUUCUUCGGGUGUUUUAUGUGCAGGAUUCCUGUAGACCUGCCAAACUUAAUGGCGAUUCGUUACUUCCAACUUUUUAACUGAGCGGCAAAGCUAUUUGACGAGAGCCGUAGUUAGGUGUAGUUAUCGCAAAAUUUUAUGACGAUUUUAUUGUUUGAAAGGGCAAAUAGUUCGCUGUUCAUCGAAAGCUGGUCCAAGAAGGAAAGAUGGCCGCCGCCGACUUAUUUUUAACCGACUUCCCAAAAAGCGGAGGUUCUCAAUUCGACCAUUUUUUCGUAUGUUUGUUACGCGAUUACUCAGCCAUUUAUUUAUCGAUUUUGAUGAUUCUUUUUUUGUUUGAUAGCGUAUACUUCCGAGGUGGUCCCAUUAUCAUCAGAUCCUGGACCUAAUAACAAAUAUGGGGAAUAUACCCUUUCGACCAAAAACAAACAUCCAAAUUGAGAACCACCUCCUUUUUGGGAUUCGGUUAAAAAUAUUUGGUGACUUUAAAAUCAAUCAAUUAUUAUUAUUGUUUCUCAUCAUCAAAUAAGUACAUUACUUUGGUAGUUACAAAUUUCAUUAUAUUAGGGGUUAAAGUAUGAAAUUGCCGUUUUAUUCUAGUAGGUUUUUGAAUUGCCAUAGAGUCUUCAUGGUUUGAGGUUUUCGAAUGGAACUUUUUUCACGUGGUUUCUGUGAUGUUUUUCUUUUAAAAAAUGUAAAACAUUUGAUUAUCGAUGUUCAAUUGUUUUUGUUAUUCAACUUAAACAAGAAAGAUGGAUACUGCGAAAAUUUGAGUAAUUUUUGAAUAUGAGUUCCGACGCGGGAUUGAACGGCAGAAACAGCCCGCAAUAUCAAUGCUGCAUUUGAAGAGGUGUCUGCUAAAGAACGCGCCGUGCGAUUUUGGAUUAAACGCUUUCGUGGUGGAAACUUCGACUUGAAGAACGAGCCAUGAGAAAGACCGCCUGACAGGUGAUUAACGAGAAAUUAAGAGAGACGGUGAACGCCGAUCCUAGUCAAACUACCCAGAUACCCAGCCGAACACCGAAUAAUGUUGAAAAAAUUAGCAGUAAAACAGCCACGACUCAUGAAUCGACCUUCACCGCUAUUGCUCCAUGACAACACGAGGCCUCAUACAGCAAAAGAAACCGUUUUAACUCUUCAGGAACUGCAGUUGGAAACUAUUCGUCUUCCUCCAUAUUCGCCAGACCUUGCUCUAACGGACGACCAUUUUUUUUUGUGAUUUGGACAAUUAUCUACGUCACAAGAAGUUUCUUCCCAGGAGGCAGAACAAAAUUCUUUCACACUGUUUGUGCAGUCUAGAUCCUCAGAGUUCUAUCGUAAAGGCAUAAAUGACCUUCUUAUUAGAUGACCGCAAUGUAUAGAUAAUAAUGGCAACUAUUUUGAUUAAAUAAGUUUGUUAAAAAUUAAAAAAAAAUACAAUUUAGGUUUUCAGUACAAAUCGGCAAUUUCAUACUUUAACCCCUAUUAUUUCAGAACACCAGGCUUACCCUCCGCCGAAACAAAAAUCUUAGAAUUGUUGAGAAAUAAUAUAAGAAUAAAUUAAAAUUCCGUAAUAGGUAAUAAAAAUUCAAUUAAAGUUAAACAUUAUUACAAAUGAAAUGACGCAACACCAAAAUAAAUAAUACAUAUAAAAAUUUAAUGCUAAAAACUUUCAUAAAACUUAAAUAUCUUUUUUCUUAACAACAAAAACAAAUUGAACCUAUAAUUUAAAAUUAAUAAAUAAAAUUGAAAUAAGUUGCUAUUAAAAAAUAGGUAUGUAUAUAUAAAAUUGGUAUUCGAUUAUUUAUAAUAAAUAUCCGAUUUAGGUAUCGAAUGCACACCGCUGAUUGAAAAAAAAAAUACAUACUCCAUUCCAAAGUCUACUUCUCUUUGAUCUUGUAAAUUGUUCAUUUUUAUUGUGUAUUUUAUGUGCUGAUUUUUUAGUUAUUGAACAUAAAUAAGUGCACAAAAUGUAUUGCAACGGAUUGAAAAUGUUAUAAAUAUGACGUUUGUGUUGUGUUUGAGAAAGUGAUGCGAUUAUUUAUUGGUAAGUUUUCACCAAAUUUGAAAUGCCUAACUUUUCGAUAGACUUAAAAACACCGUAAUUAUUAUCUUUUUCUGAAUUAACUGACCCCAUUCGACCUUUGCACGUUGUUGUCAAAUAAGUGAGCUCUAAAGUUAUAGUUAAAAUACUUCUGAUCAGGCAUUACGGACUUAGAAUUCAUGUGUUGAAAGUUAGUACAAAUUUUUGACUUCCAUGUCGCGAUUCAAAAUAUCCCGCCGAAUCAACGGUAAAGUCAUAUGUCAAAAUCUUGUCGAGCAGAGGGGUUAAUAU